rnacentral:rRNA from 1 species
AUUGAACGCUGGCGGCAUGCCUUACACAUGCAAGUCGAACGGCAGCGCGGGGCAACCUGGCGGCGAGUGGCGAACGGGUGAGUAAUAUAUCGGAACAUACCCUAGAGUGGGGGGAUAACGUAGCGAAAGUUACGCUAAUACCGCAUACGCACUAAGGUGGAAAGUGGGGGAUCUUCGGACCUCAUGCUCAUGGAGUGGCCGAUAUCUGAUUAGCUAGUUGGUGAGGUAAAGGCUCACCAAGGCGACGAUCAGUAGCUGGUUUGAGAGAACGACCAGCCACACUGGAACUGAGACACGGUCCAGACUCCUACGGGAGGCAGCAGUGGGGAAUUUUGGGACAAUGGGGGCAACCCUGAUCCAGCAAUGCCGCGUGAGUGAAGAAGGCCUUCGGGUUGU